CAGAAAAAUGUCUGCUCUCACAGAGAUUAAAAAUUGAAGCUAAGUUAUCAAUGUAAAAUUACUGAGAAAUAAUGAAAAGUAUCAACCAUUGUGCACCAAACUGCUGGCACCGAGACCCCAUAACAUGCCCUUGUUUGUGACCUGCUGUGGCACUCCCAGCUGAUAGCUCCCUUCAGCAAACCAUCCCUCCUCUUCAGCUUUGCCUCUGGAACAAAGAGUCCACUGAAGUUUGUGUGAAAUACGAGGUUUGAGCUGGAUUGGGCAGCACUCUCCUGGUGUGAAAUCCAUGACUUUGUGGUGGUCUUUACACUUGCAUAACUCGCCACAGGUGUUCCUGCCUUGCUUCAUUUGGAAGGACUAGCACAAGCACAAGACAAAUUAGUGUCUGCUGAACUCAUUACUGAACUGCUGGGCUUUCUUGCACAAAC